rnacentral:sRNA from 1 species
UGGCUGUUGUGUGCCCCGACAUUGUG